GUAACUCUCCGACACCGAACAGAACUAAAAGAACUAUUUGCGACAGUGUAUGAAGGUUUUUAGCCACGGAAACUAUGGCGACGGCUUCAGGCGAAUCGUAGCGGCAGAGCUAAAUUGCAACGGCUCGACGAAACCGUCGACUUAUUGCUUAAACGGCUACGAAAUGAUCCAAAUCAGAUCGAUCGAACGGCCACGGCUUAUGAAGUGGGUUAAUUAUAUGAUACGCCGAUCUCCCUCUCUCCGUUACCCACCGCUGAAGCCCUCCUCCUCUCUCUCUCUCUCCUUUGCUUUCCUGAAACCUCGAUCGUCUCGAUCUCUCGCCUCGAUCAGAUAUGCUUACACAUUACUUGGAUCAGUUUUCUUUUCGAUGGGAGGGGAUAAUCACCGCCGAUCAUCGUCGACCUCGUGGAAAAUCUCCGCUAAUAGCUCCGGUGAUCAGUUCUCAGUCUUCGUUAGUUAGAAUUGUGAAGAUGGAUGAGCAGAUUGUCUCAGCCUUAGGAGAGGUAGGGAUCGACCGAAAAGUAUUGAGUCAUGUCAUUGGUGAAGUUGGUGCAGGCCCUACCAUCACAUCAAAUUAUGGCCUGUCAUCAUCAGGUACAACAAGGCAAAGUAAAGAAGCCAAUUACAAAGUUUGGUCACAGUGGCUGCCUGAUCGGGCAGCCGAUAUCAAACUUUGGAUGGACUGGUAGAGCAAUUAAGAGCCUACUGUUGCUACACUAAACCGAGUAGAAUGCCGGCUGAUUUGGUCGUCUGAGGUGACGACAUCUAUUGGACGUUUAAAUCUGUCGAAGAGAAGAAGAACCGAGUCCGGCAUGGUCAAAGGUAUGACGCUGUGGAAGCUAGGACUUCUCUUGUUUACUUUGGAUGACUAGAGGUUUGGGCAUGGAGCACACAACAAGUAGAGUGUUGGGAGAAUCUGCAGGUAUUUGACACCUAAAUAGGAGCACAUACGUCGGCAAUUUAUGGCGAGAUUCGAUUGGUGGAUGGAAAAGGAUGACACUAUUCUCUCGCUCUCUUUCAUCCAUCAAUUACCACAUGACAAGUUGUCCCGUAUCAUUUAUGGAGUUCGUUUCUUUGUGGAAGGGCUUUUAGACCGCAGAGUGGCAUACCCAUGCACAGGCCUGCGGCACGUCUUUUACGCACUGACCUCGUUUCACUCAAUGCUGACUUUAUGGUGCAGGUGUUGGCAUGUGAACAUUCCACAGCUCAUUUCGUUGGGGAAAGGGAUCUAAAUGUGACAGGAGCAUUGACCUAAAGGAACGGCAUUGGACAUGAUGGAACUUGAUGUGUUGGAAGCAAUGGUAUUGUGUCUCGCCCACUUGUUAUCAAUGACACCCAACUUGGAUUGUAUCGAGGAGAAUAAUCUUGUUCAAGAACAAAGACCAUGGCAUCCAUGAGAUCAUACUCUCAUCAUCACCACCUGUUUUCCAUCUUAUCUUGGGACGCAACUGUAGUCGUGCCCAUACCAUCAAACCUGUGGGGGGGAGGGAGAGACCCCACGGUAUGGUGGAGGUGUCAAGAGACAAAAAGCUGAGAGGACUUUGUAGGACAAGGUUGAGGCAACAAGACAGGGAGGGGUUGCUGCUGACGGUGGGUGAGUAACAUCAGACUGCUGUAAAGGCUUCUUGGUCUCUUGCAGAAAGCAGUGGAGGAGAGAGAGACCCCUCCAAAAGGAACCAAUAUGAAGUCACAAAAUAGAUGCUCAAAUCCUAAUGGGGUUCAUUUCUGCCACCACCCAACACAUCCCACUUUGGGGAGGCAAAUUUCACAUACUCUUGGGUGCAGUGGGCGUGUUCAUCAUUCUCAGUUAUCAACGAGAGAGGAACCAGCCAAUGCCUUCUCAUUGAUCAAAAACACGCCAAUCAAAUGGACAGCCGCCUACUUGAUUUGCAUAGGUGGUAUAUUCUUCAAAAUGUCUCAAAGAAGCUAACGCUGCAGCUCCUAUUCAUCUUCGAUCUGGUAUUCAGAGGCAAAUUUUGGUGGAGGGAAUUCCCUGAUAUCGGUAGCAGAUUUCUGUAAUAUUUUCAUAAAAGGAUUUCUAGGUGGUAUUUUUCUUUUUGUACUAAUUAAUAAUGUAGGCAUCAUCAAGUUGAUUCAAAUAUGCUCUUUUGUCAAUGUCUUAUAACAGGUGGUAACAUCUUCAAAAUUUGUCUCAAAGAAGCCAAGGCUGCAGCUCCUACUCAUUCGGUGUGGCAUACAGAGGAAAAUUUUGGUGGAGGGAAUUAAUUCCCUGAUAUCGGUGGCAGAUUUCUUGCAUUCUUUAGAUAAAAAAAGGUUUCUUCUCUUCGUAAAGAUUGCCGUCCCGACUUCAUUCAAAACCCAACUCCAUCAGUGACAGAGCGUGAAUACAAAGAGAGUGCAUUAUGCUUCAACAAAGGCAAUCACCGGCAACAACUCCAGAAGAAAAAUGAGGAUGGAACUCGACCGGUUCUUCUGAUGAACUCUGCCUGCUGAGCAGUUCUUGCGGCUUGUUGAUUUCUUUUGGCUUCUGCCACGGCACGCAUUUCCUCAGCUCUGUGCCUUGCCGUCGCUAGCUUGUUCAUCAGCCUCUCAUGUGAAUGCGACCUCAUUCUCUCUACCUCAACCUGUCAAAAUGUGAAUCUAUCCCUUAGUUGUACUACAGACAAGCAUCAUGAAACCCAAACAAAAGCCAUAACAUGCAAGUUUGCUAUUUAUCUGCAAAUAGAGAUGUUCAAAUAAAUUUUAUAAAAUCAGUUUA